rnacentral:rRNA from 1 species
UACAGAGGUCCCAAGCGUUUGUUCGGAUUCACUGGGCGUAAAGGGUGCGUAGGUGGCGUGGUAAGUUUGAUGUGAAAUCUCCGGGCUUAACCCGGAAAUGGCAUUGAAUACUAUUAAGCUAGAGGUUUGGAGGGGGGACUGGAAUUCUCGGUGUAGCAGUGAAAUGCGCAGAUAUCGGGAAGAACACCUAUGGCGAAGGCAGCUCUCUGGGACGGUACUGACGCUGAGACGCGAAAGCGUGGGGGAGCGAACAGG